rnacentral:lncRNA from 1 species
AACUACUACUAAUUAAUUACUUACUUGUACAGCAGGCUGCUCCUUCCCUCGUCGGUUUCUCAUUUCCACUGACCUUACCAAGCUAGCUAGCUAGCUAAAGUGAGACUUUCGAGUGCUGCUGAACGACGACUUGUUCUGAGGAUGAUGAUGCAUGGUGGUGGCAUGCAUGCGUGCUGCAAAAAAAAGUCAAUUUCAAUUCAAGGUGAAAAAAAAAAAUGGCAACUGCUAAGUAAUCCUACCCGUGUAGACCGGGCCGGGAGUACGUAGAAUCAGAUCAGAUCAGA